rnacentral:lncRNA from 1 species
CCCGCCCCGCCCCGCGCGCCGCGGUGCGCCCCGAGCGGCGGCCGCUUCCUGGAGGGCUCGGGCGACCCUUCCCCUGCCACUCCCAGAGCCCCACGGGUUGGGGGUAGGGGCGUCCGGCCUGAAGCCCGGUCCCCAGCCACGGCCUUCCCCGCACCGCCCGCGCUGCGCCCGGCUCCAAGCCCCUCCGCUCCCGCCAGGCCAGUCCUUCCGGCCCGGGCCGCCCGCCCGGCGCCUCUGCCGAGCCCCCUGCACCCCCAUCCCCGCCUUGGCCCCGCCAGCCCCGGCUCCGCCUCGCUCCCGGCCCGCGUCCCUCCGAGCUCCGGCUGGGACCCUGCGCCCCGCCUAGCUCCCGGCUCUGCUCGCUGCGCGCCAUCCUCCGCUCGGGCUUGCGCCCACCAAGACCCGCUCUCCUCGGCCACCCACAGCUGCAUGGCCCGGCCCUCGUCCGCGCAGGACAGGCUGGAGGAGGGGCCUGAGAGCCGUGUGGCCCUGUGCACCCGAUCCUGUGAUAACCCCAAAUCUACCCCCGGAAUUCCUUUUGGGGAUAGGGUCGCAAGGAACGGGCUCCGUUGAGUCUUUUACUGGGGAAGGGAUACUAGUGGGGGUGAUGAACUGUUCUCAAGUCCGCUGGGCACCCCCCGCCCUCGGGGAAGCAACUAUUCCUUCCCCCCCACUCCUCCAUAAUCGGCUCAGCCUGGUCCCACUGACCUCCACCUCCCCCCACAGCUGAGUCUCUUGGCACCUGGUCUAUCACUGCAAGAGAAAGAGGUAGAAAAGACAAACAGACCACAAAAGAC